rnacentral:lncRNA from 1 species
AUAUUUUAUGAAUACCAUUACAGGUACUUUCUUUUAUACAUGCAUGUCUUAAUUAUUUAUUUGUUGCCACAGAUGUCCUGCAGGAUGCCAAAUAUGCCAGAAUUUAAUCAGAUGUUGCUGUGGACGGCUGAUUGGAGAUCACCCAGGAGUAGACUGUAGCUGGCCAGUCUAUCAGGCUGCCCUGCAGAGAGAUGAUGAAGAAUGGUCUGUGCAAAAGCACACAAAGACAAGUCCAACUGAUGCAUUUGGGAUGAUCAAUUUCCAAGAUGGAGAUCGUACUUAACCACACCAAGGUUUGGGUGUAAUUUGAUUUUUAAUGGGUGCUGGGUAAUAUGUCCUACUUUUUUUAAUUUUUGUGUAAGAAAGGCAAAAAGUGAGAUUGGGUGAAUAUUGGAUUGUUAUUCCUGAAAGAACAGGGCAAUGUACAAAUAACUCUAAUUUGA